ensembl:lncRNA
CACAGCUGCACUUUUUGAUUUACCAAUAUCGUCCCAAAAAUUGCUAAUAUGUUAUUAAUUAUCCAUGUCCCUGCCAAUUAGACUACCACAUGGAGUUAACAGUUCACAGGGCCUAACAGUAACAGAGUCUUCGGCUGGACUUAUGUUCAACGCGUGCCACUGCCAGGCCUCCCAUUGUUCCUCCUCUGUCUACUUCUCGCACAAACACUAUUAUUGUCAGACAGUCAUGAAUAUUAUUACUGUAGAGUUAUUUUCAAUGCUAAUUCAAUACCCGUGGGCGCAAUCGUGCAGCCGCUCUCCAGCAGGUGUUCCUGCCGCUCUUAUUUUAAUACUGGCGUGAUGAUUCCUGCUGCUGGAUCCUUCUCCUCGCAUAACUUCAGAGGGAAACAAUGCAGCCCGAGUUGCGUGGCGAUCUGUGUCUAUUUGUGUAGUGGUUAUGCUAAUCCAUGUUGUCUAUCUGAUUUCCACAGAACUUUUGCUGAUAGAAAUUCACGCUUGAGGCGAUAUUGUGACUGUUAGGCGUCGAGUCUUCGCUCGCUCUCAGGUCCUAGAGGUGAUUCUUAUCAGAGGCAGUAACCGCACCAAAAUGCGCUGCCGUCUGCCAUCCCAUCACCUCAGCCUGCAGUUGUCAGGAAGGUGAGAGAAUACAAAAUCCUGUUGUUGCUGUUUUUUUCUUUUUUUUUUCUCUUUGUUGCCCCCCUAUUCCGCCAUCACCCCACCCUCACCCCUCCACCCUCCCUCCUUUUUUUUCUUUGCGGCUUCUGGCUCACUGGCUGCGAAGCCUCCAGUUGAUAAAUGAGGUGUUUUCGCAGUAAUGUCAGCGUGGGCUGCUCUGACACACGGAGCUCGUGAGAAGAAGUGGCAGGACGCCGCCCUGUCUCCGCGUUUAUCCAGCACAGCCAAACACUGCAGGCCAGCCACUGACUGUCAGCUCCGGCCUGUGCGCUGACCAUCUCCAUCACACAUAAUUCAACCAGAUAGCCUGCAACUGGUGGAUAAUAAUAAUAAUAAUAAUAAUAAUAAUAAUAAUAAUAAUAAUAAUAAUAUAUGGAAACGAUAAAUAGUGAACGAAAUAUUUCAUUUAUGUAUUGGAAUAAUAUUGUCAAACUGUAUUUAAAAUAUUUAAUAAAUAC